UACCAGCACCCCGAGUGGUCGGGACGAUUAUUGGGCCUAAAGCAUCCGUAGCCGGUUCUGCAAGUCCCCCGUUAAAUCCAGCUGCUCAACAGAUGGGCUGCGGAGGAUACUCCAGAGCUAGGAGGCAGGAGAGGCAAGCGGUACUCAGUGGGUAGGGGUAAAAUCCGUUGAUCCAUUGAAGACCACCAGUGGCGAAGGCGGCUUGCCAGAAUGCGCUCGACGGUGAGGGAUGAAAGCUGGGGGAGCAAACCGG
rnacentral:rRNA from 1 species